UACAGAGGGCUCAAGCGUUAAUCGGAAUCACUGGUUAAGGUCCGCAGGCGGAUUGGAAAGUAUCUUGUGAAAUACCACGGCUCAACCGUGGAACUGCUCGGUAAACUUCCAAUCUUGAACACGGUAGGGGCCAUCGGAACUCUAGGUGGAGCGGUGAAAUGCGUAGAUAUCUAGAGGAACGCCAGAGGCGAAGGCGGAUGGCUGGGCCGUUGUUGACGCUCAGGGACGAAAGCAUGGGUAGCGAACGGGAUUAGAUACCCCCGUAGUCC
rnacentral:rRNA from 1 species